rnacentral:siRNA from 1 species
CCAAACCACCGACCCCAGCAGAA